UACGGAGGGAGCUAGCGUUAUUCGGAAUUACUGGGCGUAAAGCGCACGUAGGCGGCUUUGUAAGUAAGAGGUGAAAGCCUGGAGCUCAACUCCAGAAUUGCCUUUUAGACUGCAUCGCUUGAAUCAUGGAGAGGUGAGUGGAAUUCCGAGUGUAGAGGUGAAAUUCGUAGAUAUUCGGAAGAACACCAGUGGCGAAGGCGGCUCACUGGACAUGUAUUGACGCUGAGGUGCGAA
rnacentral:rRNA from 1 species